AGUUGGGCGAAUUAUGUUCGUUUAUAAGCAUCUGACUUAUGGGGUGGGAAGUC
rnacentral:ncRNA from 1 species